rnacentral:rRNA from 1 species
GAUGAACGCUGGCGGCGUGCCUAAUACAUGCAAGUCGAGCGAACAGAUGAGGAGCUUGUUCUUCUGACGUUAGCGGCGGACGGGUGAGUAACACGUGGAUAACCUACCUAUAAGACUGGGAUAACUUCGGGAAACCGGAGCUAAUAACGGAUAAUAUAUUGAACCGCAUGGUUCAAUAGUGAAAGACGGUUUUGCUGUCACUUAUAGAUGGAUCCGCGCCGCAUUAGCUAGUUGGUAAGGUAACGGCUUACCAAGGCAACGAUGCGUAGCCGACCUGAGAGGGUGAGCGGGCACACUGGAACUGAGACACGGUCCAGACUCCUACGGGAGGCAGCAGUAGGGUAACGUCCGCAAGGGGCGAAAGCCUGACGGAGCAACGCCGCGUGAGGGAUGAAGGGCUUCGGAUCGUAAAACUCUGUUAUUAGGGAAGAACAAAUGUGUAAGUAACUAUGCACGUCUUGACGGUACCUAAUCAGAAAGCCACGGCUAACUACGUG